GACGAAGGUGGCGAGCGUUACUCGGAAUUACUAGGCGUAAAGCGUGGGUAGGUGGUUCGGUAAGUCUGUUGUGGAAGCUCCCGGCUUAACCGGGAGAGGCCAAUGGAAACUGCCGGACUUGAAUGUGGGAGGGGUCACUGGAAUUCCUGGUGUAGCGGUGAAAUGCGUAGAGAUCAGGAGGAACACCAAAGGCGAAAGCAGGUGACUGGACCACUAUUGACACUGAGCCACGAAAGCUAGGGGAGCAAACAGG
rnacentral:rRNA from 1 species